rnacentral:rRNA from 1 species
CCUACGGGUGGCAGCAGUGAGGAAUAUUGGUCAAUGGGCGAAAGCCUGAACCAGCCAAGUCGCGUGCAGGAUGACGGCCCUACGGGUUGUAAACCUCUUUUAUAGGGGAGUAAAGCGCCUUACGUGUGGCGCAUUGAGAGUACCCGAAGAAUAAGCAUCGGCUAAUUCCGUGCCAGCAGCCGCGGUAAUACGGAAGGUUCGGGCGUUAUCCGGAUUUAUUGGGUUUAAAGGGGGCGCAGGCCGGAGGUCAAGCGCGCUGUCAAAUUUCCGGGCUCAACCCCGGUCUUGCAGUGGAAACUGGAUUGCUUGAGUGCGCGGGAAGUAGGCGGAAUGCGUGGUGUAGCGGUGAAAUGCAUAGAUAUGACGAAGAACUCCGAUUGCGAAGGCAGCAUGCUGGAGCGGAACUGACGCUCAUGCUCGAAAGCGUGGGUAUCGAACAGGAUUAGAUACCCUAGUAGUC